rnacentral:rRNA from 1 species
GCUAUCAGAGUCCGACUAAGCCAUGCGAGGCCAGGUGGCUUCGGUCACCUGCCGAACUGCUCAGUAACACGUAGUCAAUCUGCCCUGAGGACGGGGAUAACCCCGGGAAACUGGGGAUAAUACCCGAUAGGUGAUGGGUACUGGAAGGUCCCAUCACUCAAAUGAAUUUCGCCUCAGGAUGAGACUGCGCCGGAUUAGGUUGUUGUUGGGGUAAUUGCCCAACAAGCCGAUAAUCCGUACGGGUUGUGAGGGCAAUAGCCCGGAGAUGGACUCUGAGACAUGAGUCCAGGCCCUACGGGGUGCAGCAGGCGCGAAACCUUCGCAAUGCGCGAAAGCGUGACGAGGGGACUCUGAGUGACUUCGCACUGCGAAGUCUUUUGCUGAGUGUAAAAAGGCUCGGCGAAUAAGGGGUGGGUAAGACGGUUGCCAGCCGCCGCGGUAAUAACCGCGCCCCAAGUGGUGGCCGCUUUUAUUGGGCCUAAAGCGUCCGUAGCCGGUCCGGAAAGUCCACAGUCAAAGCCUACUGCAAACAGUGGAAUUGCUGUGGAUACUUCCGGGCUAGGGACCGGGAGAGGCCGGGGGUACGGCCAGGGUAGGGGUUAAAUCCGUUAAUCCUGGCAGGACCACCUGUGGCGAAGGCGCCCGGCUGGAACGGCUCCGACGGUGAGGGACGAAAGCUAGGGGAGCGAUCGGGAUUAGAUACCCCGGUAGUCCUAGCCGUAAACGAUGCCCACUUGGUGUCGGCUGUCCCACGAGGGCAGUUGGUGCCGAAGCGAAGGCGAUAAGUGGGCCGCCUGGGGAGUACGGCCGCAAGGCUGAAACUUAAGGGAAUUGGCGGGGGAGCACUACAAGGGGUGGAGGCUGCUGUUCAAUUGGAUUCAACGCCGGAAACCUCACCUGGGAAGACAGCAGGAUGAAGGUCAACCUGAAGGGUUUACCUGACACGCUGAGAGGUGAUGCAUGGCCGUCGUCAGCUCGUGCCGUGAGGUGUCCUCUUAAGUGAGGAAACGAGCGAGACCCACGCCCUUAGUUGCUACUCCUGUCUCUGGACAGGAGGCACUCUAAGGGGACCGCUUCCGCUAAGGAAGAGGAAGGAGUGGGCAACGGCAGGUCUGUAUGUCCCGAAUUCCCAGGGCUACAAGCGGCCUACAAAGCAUGGGCCAACGGGCUGCGACCCCGAAAGGGGAAGCCAAUCCCUCAAACCCAUGCCUAGUUCGGAUCGAGGGCUGCAACCCGCCCUCGUGAAGCC